UGCCUGAGAGCCCCCUUCUGCCCUUGGAUUAAUGCCCCUCCUUCGUACUGCUUGUGCCCAUAACUGCUUCCCCUAUUUCUGCAAAGACAAAUUCAAACUCCCGCGAAGGCGGGAAACUCAUACUCGCCCACUGCUGUGGGCAUAACCUAGUUCCUAGGCAAACAAAAAGAAAACGAAAACAAUCUAAAAGAAAGAAAUAAAAUAAAAAACACCAGGUUACCUCCUGGCCAGUGCCCUAUUUAUCGUCCCGAGCAUGACGUGGUACCUGUCAAUCAACCCAGGUGUUUGUGGCUGGGGCGAGAUCUUCUUCCUCCCCAACGUUGGGUUUUGCCCAUAAUAAGCUUUCAACCUUUGCCCAUUCACCUUGAACACUCCUCCAG
rnacentral:lncRNA from 1 species